rnacentral:rRNA from 1 species
GACAGAGGGGGCAAGCGUUGCUCGGAAUUACUGGGCGUAAAGGGCGCGUAGGCGGGAUGGCAAGUCGGUCGUGAAAUCCCUCGGCUCAACCGAGGAACGUCGAUCGAUACUGCUGUUCUUGAGGAUUGCAGAGGAGACUGGAAUUCCCGGUGUAGCGGUGAAAUGUGUAGAGAUCGGGAGGAACACCGGUGGCGAAGGCGGUCCGCUGGGCAGGAAGGCUCGCAAGAGCCGGCUGACGCUGAGGCGCGACAGCGUGGGGAGCAAACAGG